rnacentral:lncRNA from 1 species
AUCAUUUGGAGAUCACAUGUUACUUGGUAAGUGUGAUCAUUAAUUGCGAUAGGCCAACUUGACUUGAAUAAGAACAGCUAGCAGAUUAGUAAAGUUUUGGGUGUGUGUGGAGCAUUGACAUAUAGGUUAGCACUCACAGAGGGGAAGACUCACAUUGGAUGAGGGGCCACCAACCAUUAGGCUCCUAGCCUGCUGGGUCUGUGUCGCGCAGUCCGGGAGGUCACGCACCCGCCGGGUGAUCUCAGGCAGGCAGGCAGCUGAGCCGCGGCGCCUCGGGCACGGUGUCGGCCGCCCGCCACGCAGACUGGCGCGUCCAGGUGGCCGUGAAGCACCUGCACAUCCACACUCCGCUGCUGGACAGGUGAGGCGCCCCCGCGGGUCCCCGGCGCAGCCUAGGCUCAUAGCCUGGACAGACUAAAAAGGGAAAGAAGAAAAAGGAAAGGUCUUUGCCAUUAGCUUUGGACAUUGGUCUACAAUUUCUUGAGGCCCAAGAAAGAGGCCAUGAGGACUCCAACAGGCAAUGAUGUAGGGGAAGCAUUGUGCAAACUGUUUAGAGCUCACAUCUCCCUAUAACUUGGCCCAGGUGCUGGACACAGAGCUACCGGUAGGAGGUAAUGUUUUCUCUGCUAGUUUUCAGUCUUGCUUUGGUAUCAUUCUUUUCUAUCCCCCAACUCACCCUUUUGGAAUGGGGAUGGUUUUCCUGUGUCACUGUAUUUCAGCAGUGUAUAACUUUUUUUUUUUUUUUUUAAAACAGGGCCUCACAACUAAGAGUUUGCUUUGAGUGUCAGAGGAGUCUUUGGACUUGGACUUUUCAGCAAUGCUGGAACUGUUAAGACUGGUGAGUAUUAGAGAUGCAUUAAAUGCAUUUUACAUAGAGA